rnacentral:rRNA from 1 species
UACGUAGGGUGCAAGCGUUGUCCGGAAUUAUUGGGCGUAAAGAGCUCGUAGGCGGCCUGUCGCGUCGGCUGUGAAAACCCGGGGCUCAACCCCGGGCCUGCAGUCGAUACGGGCAAGCUAGAAUUCGGUAGGGGAGACUGGAAUUCCUGGUGUAGCGGUGAAAUGCGCAGAUAUCAGGAGGAACACCGGUGGCGAAGGCGGGUCUCUGGGCCGAUACUGACGCUGAGGAGCGAAAGCGUGGGGAGCGAACAGG